rnacentral:rRNA from 1 species
GUAGGGAAUUUUGCGCAAUGGGCGAAAGCCUGACGCAGCAACACCGCGUGAGCGAUGAAGCCCCUUGGGGUGUAAAGCUCUGUCAGUAGGGAAGAAUAAAUGACUGUACCUACAGAGGAAGCAUCGGCUAACUACGUGCCAGCAGCCGCGGUAAGACGUAGGAUGCAAGCGUUGUCCGGAAUUAUUGGGCGUAAAGAGUUCGUAGGCGGUAUGUCAAGUCUGGUGUUAAAGACUGAGGCUCAACCUCAGGAGGGCAUUGGAUACUGGCAAACUAGAGUGCAGAAGAGGCAAGGGGAAUUCCCAGUGUAGCGGUGAAAUGCGUAGAUAUUGGGAGGAACACCAGUGGCGUAAGCGCCUUGCUGGGCUGUUACUGACGCUGAGGAACGAAAGCCAGGGGAGCAAAUGGGAUUAGAAACCCCUGUAGUCC